AACGCACGAGACCUGCGGACCUGCGGAAGGAUCAUUAAUGAGAAGCUGCCCCCCGUGGGUAGACCUCCCACCCUCUGUGAACUUACCUUUGUUGCUUUGGCAGGCCCGUCCUCUGGACCGCCGGCUUCGGCUGGCCCGUGCCUGCCAGAGGAUUCCAAACCCUGUCUGUCAGUGUUGUCUGAGUCUAUAUGAAAUCGUUAAAACUUUCAGCAAUGGAUCUCUAGAUCGGAAGAGCACACG
rnacentral:misc_RNA from 1 species